GGAGAGUUGGCAGAGUCCGGUUGAAUGCAGCUGACUUGAAAUCAGCCGUGGGUUUACGCCCACCGGGGGUUCGAAUCCCUCACUCUCCGCCA
rnacentral:tRNA from 1 species